rnacentral:rRNA from 1 species
UACGUAGGCGGAUUGAUAAGUCAGUGGUGAAAUCCUACAGCUCAACUGUAGAACUGCCAUUGAAACUGUCAGUCUUGAGUUUAACCGAGGUGGUUGGAAUGCGUAGUGUAGCGGUGAAAUGCAUAGAGAUUACGCAGAACGCCGAUUGCGAAGGCAGAUCACUAGGUUUGAACUGACGCUGAUGUACGAAAGCGUGGGUAGCGAACAGGAUUAGAUACCCUGGUAGUCC